rnacentral:rRNA from 1 species
UUGCGUGGGGGAACCUGACCGCAAUGCCGCGUGAGUGAAGAAGGCCUUCGGGUUGUAAAGCUCUUUUGUCAGGGAAGAAACACCGGCUCUAACACAGUCCGGGAAUGACGGUACCUGAAGAAUAAGCACCGGCUAACUACGUGCCAGCAGCCGCGGUAAUACGUAGGGUGCAAGCGUUAAUCGGAAUUACUGGGCGUAAAGCGUGCGCAGGCGGUUAUACAAGACAGGCGUGAAAUCCCCGGGCUUAACCUGGGAAUGGCGCCUGUGACUGUAUAGCUAGAGUGUGUCAGAGGGGGGUAGAAUUCCACGUGUAGCAGUGAAAUGCGUAGAUAUGUGGAGGAAUACCAAUGGCGAAGGCAGCCCCCUGGGAUAACACUGACGCUCAUGCACGAAA